UUUCACUUUCACUUUCACUUUCACUCUUCUGCUCUUUCUUUUUCCUGUCCAAAAUAAGAAUUGCAGCUAAAACAAAUCUUUGGGGUUUGUCGAUUUAAGGCUGUCAAUUGUUGGUCUAGCGACUGAGAGGUUGUGGUGUUUGUUUUAUUGAAUGAUGAUGGGGGUGGGAUUGAGAAAGCAGAUGGAGGGGGCUUGAGUUUUUAAGCUCACUCUUAGAGCCCCUCUUAGACAGAACACGUUUCCCAGUUUCACUAUAGAUAGGGAUAUAAAGAGAUAGUGCACAGAGGAAAACACCCAAGAAAAAGAGUAUCUGGUAAAAUGAAGAGGGUAUGCAUUUCGUCUGAUGAUGAUGAUGGUAGUAGGUGCAGUGGUAGCAUGCCAAGUUGGGCUAGGAAGAAUACGAAGUUAGAUACUCUUCUGGAGAGGUUGAUUGAUUCUGUUCUUUUAAUGAACAACAAAGUGGAGGGACUAAGUAAUCGAGUUAAUGCACUUGAACAAAAAGUGAAUGAAGAAAUUAUGCUUGGAAGGAAGGAGAGGACCGAGUUCAUGAAUGAAGUGAAGUCGGAGACAGCA